UGCAGUGUAGUGUUGCCGAACAACUACUG
rnacentral:piRNA from 1 species